rnacentral:rRNA from 1 species
CCUACAGGGGGCAGCAGUGGGGAAUAUUGGACAAUGGAGGAAACCCUGAUGCAGCGACGCCGCGUGAGGGAAGAAGUAUUUAGGUACGUAAAGCUCUAUCAGCAGGGAAGAAAAUGAAGGUACGUGAAUCAGAAGCCCAGGCUAACUACGUGCCAGCAGCCGCGGUAAUACGUAGGGGGCAAGCGUUAUCCGGAUGUACUGGGUGUAAAGGGAGCGUAGGCGGCCGCGGAAGUCUGAAGUGAAAUCCCAUGGCUUAACCAUGGAACUGCUUUGGAAACUGUGCAGCUGGAGUGCAGGCGGGGUAGGCGGAAUGUCUAGUGUAGCGGUGAAAUGCGUAGAUAUUAGACGGAACACCAGUGGCGAAGGCAGCUUACUGAACUGUAACUGACGUUGAGGCUCGAAAGCGUGGGGAGCAAACAGGAUUAGAUACCCCAGUAGUC